ACAAAAUGAUCGAUGAGUCCCAAACAUAAAACAAAUAAACGACAACUGAACAUUUCUGUAGAGGAUAAUACUACCAGAAGAGAGGCCAGCAGCGGAACCAGCAGCGAGGAGGGAGAGCUUCGUCUUGGAGUCUCGUUCCGAAGCAGUGAGUGAGCCUAUUCCUUUGGCGAUUGAUGCCCCAAUCUCGACGCUAGGGCCUUCAGGUGGCGAUUGAUGCCCCAAUUUCGACGCUAGGGCCUUCAGGUCCUAGUGAAUUCCCGGUCCCUAGGGUGAAAGAAGCCGAUAGCGCUUUCAAGACAGGCCGGAGAACAGCGGCGAAUCGGUUCCGAACGUCGGAUGAACUUCGCUGAGCGUCCGAUUCCGGAAGAGAAGAGCGGAGCAGGUUCAA
rnacentral:lncRNA from 1 species